rnacentral:rRNA from 1 species
GCAAGUCGAGCGGUAACAGACAUAAAGAUUCAGCUUGCUGAAUCCGGUGCUGACGAGCGGCGAACGGGUGAGUAACGCGUAGGAAUCUACCCAGUAGCGGGGGAUAGCCCGAGGAAACUCGGAUUAAUACCGCAUACGCCCUGAGGGGGAAAGGGGGCAAUUUAUUGCUCUCACUAUUGGAUGAGCCUGCGUAAGAUUAGCUUGUUGGUAGGGUAAUGGCCUACCAAGGCGACGAUCUUUAGCUGGUCUGAGAGGACGAUCAGCCACAUUGGGACUGAGACACGGCCCAGACAUCUACGGAUGGCAGCAGUUAAGAAUAUUGGACAAUGGGGGCAACCCUGAUCCAGGUAUACCGCGUGUGUGAAGAAGGCCCUAGGGUUGUAAAGCACUUUAAUCAGAGAAGAAGCAUUUUAAGUUAAUACCUUAAUUUGUUGACGUUAACUGAAGAAUAAGGACCGGCUAACUCCGUGCCAGCAGCCGCGGUAAUACGGAGGGUCCAAGCGUUAAUCGGAAUUACUGGGCGUAAAGCGCGCGUAGGCGGUUUAGCAAGUUGUAUGUGAAAGCCCUGGGCUCAACCUAGGAACUGCAUCCAAAACUACUAAGCUAGAGUGCGAGAGAGGAGAGUAGAAUUUCUGGUGUAGCGGUGAAAUGCGUAGAUAUCAGAAGGAAUACCUAUGGCGAAGGCAGCUCUCUGGCUCGUCACUGACGCUGAGGUGCGAAAGCGUGGGUAGCAAACAGGAUUAGAUACUCUGGUAGUCCACGCCGUAAACGAUGACAACUAGCCGUUGGGC